ACUCAAACAUUGUCGUAAUGCUUGUGGGGAAUAAGGCAGAUUUGCGUCACUUACGGGCUGUUUCCACCGAGGAUGCCAAAGCAUUUGCUGAGAAGGAGAGUACUUUUUUCAUGGAAACAUCUGCUCUGGAGUCCAUGAAUGUGGAAAAUGCCUUCACAGAAGUGCUCACUCAAAUUUACCGUGUCGUGAGCAGGAAAGCUCUUGAAGCAGGAGAUGACCCUGCAGCAUUGCCCAAGGGGCAGUCUGGAGUCCAUGAACGUGGAAAAUGCCUUCACAGAAGUGCUCACUCAAAUUUACCGUGUCGUGAGCAGGAAAGCUCUUGAAGCAGGAGAUGACCCUGCAGCAUUGCCCAAGGGGCAGACUAUUAAUGUCGGAAAUAAGGAUGAUGUUUCAGCAGUAAAGAAAGCUGGGUGCUGUUCUGCUUAAAACAAGAACCAAUCUUAUGUUGGACGAUGUUCGUUCUUCUUUUUGAGUUCAAAUUAUCAUGUGGCAGUGGUAAUUUCUCCUUUUCUGUACAAGGAAUUAACCACAUGAAUUGCUUAGCCGUCAGAGCUCUAGUUUACUGGUGCUCACGUUGGGAUUUGAGCUGCAGCCCCCCUCCUUGAGUGAUUCCUCAGCAUUCUUUAUCGUUGUUCCUAUAUUUAUCUUAGCUUAGUGUAUGAUUGUAGUAUAGCUUGUUAUGAAUAUGUAGGAUAGUGUGUAUUCGAUUGCAAAGAUAGAACUGAGGCAUGUUUGAACAGAUUAUUUUGCCUGUGACUCUAUUGUUUCGCUAGUCAUUGUAGACUACGGAAUAUUUGAUCAAUUUCUCAGGGUAUCUGACAUGAAUUCAUUGUUUAUCUUUUCCUUAAUGAGUCGAAUUGACACCUCAAAUCAGGGAAGGUUUGAUGAUGUAUUCGGUGCAAAUAGGAACAGUGACACUUUAGUGCCUUGACAAACUGGUAGUUGAUUUUCUGAUAAUCUAAUCUGCUGCUUGGCUUAAAAGCUGCCCUUCUUUUCUGAUGACUUUUUGGUGGAAAAAGUAAUUAAAAUUAUUCG
rnacentral:lncRNA from 1 species